UGGGGAAUCUUGCGCAAUGGGGGCAACCCUGACGCAGCCACGCCGCGUGCUGGAAGACGGCCCUAUGGGUUGUAAACAGCUUUUGGGCGGGAAGAACCUGGGAUGUUCGCAUCCCACUGACGGUACCGCCCGAAUAAGCACCGGCUAACUCCGUGCCAGCAGCCGCGGUAAUACGGAGGGUGCAAGCGUUGUCCGGAAUUAUUGGGUGUAAAGGGUGCGCAGGCGGGAGCUCGCGUCGAGGGUGAAAGACGGCCGCUUAACGGUCGCCGUGCCUUCGAUACGGGGUUUCUUGAGUCCGGAAGAGGCUGGUGGAACUGGUGGUGUAGCGGUGAAAUGCAUAGAGAUCACCAGGAACACCGGUGGCGAAGGCGGCCAGCUGGUCCGGUACUGACGCUGAGGCACGAGAGCGUGGGGAGCGAACAGGAUUAGAUACCCCCGUAGUCC
rnacentral:rRNA from 1 species